GUUUUGCCUUCAAAAGAAACUUCUAUGAGAUGCCUAACAAAACCCAGGCAGUUUAGCACCAGCACAUGGUGUAAAAAUUAGGAAAAGGUCUUUAUAGAGAUGAAAUUAAGGAACAGUUCUUCACGUAAAGUAUGGUAAAUGAAGAUGAUUCAUGAAUGCUCUUUAUUCAAUGCAUGUCGAGACUAGUUAAUGUCAUCUGGCUUUUUAAAUCAAAAGGUA